UUCUACAGUCGAUGUCUGCAGAAGAGAGAAAUAAUUAACAACUGACUAUAUAGAUACUGGACGUUUUAAUCGCUAACGUUACCUUACCACGUCCAACUUUGCGUCUAGCGACAACCGACCGGAAGUUAAGGAGCUGGCUUUUAUGUUAGCGGAAGUUGUCAGUUGACGCACUGUGAAUCGCUAAAGCUAUACAGCUACUUUUAAUCCCGUCUGAGCAGCGCGACAUAUAGCUUUUAUUCAAACAUCAGUGAAAGACUUAUUUAGUUUUCAAAGUUUCCAUACAGACCAGUGUAAUAACAUGUCAACUUAACGUCGACUGACAAGAAUUAUAAACCAGCUGGAGAUAUAGGUCGGUCUCUGUCCGCUUUAUUGUAUCAGUAACGAGAGACGAGAUGAAGCCUCCUCCUCGCAUUCGAAAUAAACCAAACCGCAGCCUGAAUCAGGGACAGGAGACGCGGGAUAAAGCUUUCACUAAGUGGCAGCGAGCAGAGCACAGAAAGUUAGUCACUGCUUUAAAAACUCUGAGCGGAAAGACCGGAGGACACGGAGACAUCGACUACAAUUUCCUCAAGAAAGAGGUGUCUACUCGGUCGAUUUCAGAGAUCCACUCUGUCGUAGAAUAUCUGAAGAAAAAGGUUAUCGGUAGUGUAAACUGUAAACUGACAAGGAAGAUGUUGCAAGGCAAGAAGAUCAGAAAGCCCAUUGAGGUGUGGACACACAUGGCCUCUACUGUGGCUGGAACACUAGAGGAGCCCAUCUCUGCUGCUUUCUCUCAGAUGCUGUUAAUAUCUUCUACAGAGCCUCGCUCUCUGAGAAACUGUGACCCUCCUCAGGUCCACAGGCUGUCCACUGAUGCAGACAGGCCUGUUGGUCGCACCAUUCCUUGUUCCUCUGUCCGAGGUGACUCACCUGGCACCAGCACAGCACAACAUAUCGUGCUCUUCAAGACUCCAGCACCAACCAUAGGCCCAGCCAAAAGACUCUCUACAUCAUUCAAAGUGGUCAAAGUGUCAAACAGCGGAAUCCAGAAUUCACCCAGGCAACAGCCUUCAACCACAGCUGGAACCUCACCUGCUGCCCCCUGCUCCUCUCUAAACACAAUCACACAACUCCCCACUGUUACUACUCUAUCUUCGGAUAGUCCUUCAGUUUCAACCACCUCCUCCUCUAGCUCAGUGCCAACACUUUCCCCUUCUACUACAGCAACUCAUGCCAAGUCCAGUAGCACCAGCAAACAUACAGAAAAAGACAAGAGCCUGGUUGACUUUGAGAAGAUCUAUCAUUACCUGAGUGUCAUCAACAAGCCAGACAAGGAGUGUCAUAUAACGCCCAUGGAGAGUGCCAUCAUCUUGAACCUGAUGAUGUCUCUGCCAGAGGAGCUCCCUCUGCUGGACUGCACCAAACUCCACCAACAUCUCAUCCAGAUGCACCAGUGCCUCACAUCACCUGCUAAGUCCAAGAUGACGAGAGAGGACCGAAAGGGUGGACCCUGUGCUCAGACGAGUAAACCAAGUGGUCGAGGCAGCAACGCAACAGACGGUCAGCAGCAGACUGCCAGGAUUAUGGACAGCAGUGCAGACCAGGAAGAUGCUGAGAGCCAGUCAUCAGGGAGCAACAACGGAGAAAACCAAUCCGGGAAUGUAGACAGGAUGGGAUUCUGCCCCCCUCUCAAUCCUUUUGUUGUGCCACUGAAACUGUUAAUGCGCAGAUAAGUUAAGUUCAAAAUGUCUGAUGAAAAUUUGCAAUUGUGCUGUAAGCUUAAAUUAUGACUUUUUCUAUAAAUAUUUGGAGGUUACUUACUGUGCUGGGUUUCAGUACCACUUGAAUGAUGCUUGUAAAUAUGUUGGCUUUGAAUAUCUGUCUUGUUUACUUAUUCUCUACUUUAUGGAGCCCGGGAAAUGACAUGAAGGAAAAAAUUAUGUGGCCAUGCUUUAAUAACACAGGUUAUUGUUGUUGUUUAUUACAUUAUUGUUGACAUCAGCUACAACUUCAAUUUUCAUCUAAACGAGCUGUUCUCUAUCUAGAGCUGGUAGUGAUACAACACAGGGAUCGUCUAGAAAGGGCAAUGCAGACAAUGUGUUGGGGUAAACAGGAGUUCGCCAUCUCUAAGAUCAACGACUUUCUUUCCUAUAAUGUGCCUUAAAACAAGGAAAAACAGGCCAAAAUUCGUUAGUACUAGUAAGGUAGUACUUAUAACAAGCAAAGAAAUUCUGUCAUGUAAGAAAUGUCUUCUUUUACUUGACUAAGGUGACUUAAAGAAAUUAUACCUUAGAAUUUCUCAUUCCCACACACACACACACACACAUCAAUCCAUGAUAGUUAAUAACACAUUAUGUGCAUCACUAGUGAACACACAAACCAGGAGCAUUUGGGAUUUUAUGCAAAAUAUUUCUUUAGCUUGUUAGUGGUCAUUAAAUAAGAUUAUAUUUCUAGUGUAGAACUUGCUUGUUUUUGGGUUUUUUUCUUUCCAGGCAAAAACUAACAAUCAUUUCCCAGAAAUAAGACUUGUUUUACUUCCUUAAAAAUCAGCAUUUGCAGUGUAGUGCCUAGAAACUCACUUUUUUCAUAGUUUCAUCAUCAUUUUUAUUCAGAAUAUUAGCUAAAAUCAUCACCGUAAUACAGUUCAGUGCCUAUCAAAUCACAUCAAAGCCAGCUGUUCAAAGAAGGUGUCUCGUUUUGAUGAAAACGAGGUUGGAGCUGAUAAGUAUGCCUUACUUUUGUGACCCCCACAGAUGUCACUUCCAGGCUCUGUACCGUCCUGACAGUCCACAGGACAGUAUUUACAUUCUAGCUGGUCCCAGUCAGAAGACUGAUCCUCCAUCCAUGGCUCCUGACACUAACUGUGAGGUGGCCUUUGCUCCAGAGACUGUUGGUAUGUAGUUCAUUGUAGAGCUGAUUGAUUUAUUGAUUAGUUCUCAACUAUAAAAUCAAAUACCAAACGCUUUUUAUAAUAAAGCUGAGAUUGGCACAGCACCCCCCGCGACCCUCUGUCAGAGGAUAAAGCGGUAGAUGAUGAUGAUGAUGAUAAAUAAAUACAUUUUUGUGAUUUUUCUAGAAAAGAAUCCUCUGAUUUCAGCUUCUUAAAUGUGAAUAUGUUCAGGUUAUUUUCCCCCUCUAUGACAGUAAACUUAAUAUAUUCUAUAUAUUUGAUACUUGAUUUGAGAAUUAAAGAUGAGCUCGGCAUGUGAACACUGCAGCCGCACAAGAAAAUUUGGGAAAGCACAUCUGCCAACAGUGUGGGAGCAAUCCAGCGGCUGUCCGUUGUCGUGACUGUCGACCACGGCCCUUCUUCUGUGCUGACUGUGAUGUCAGCAUGCACGUCAGACAUGUCCUCCACAACAGGGAUGCAAUGACUGCUGGAUUCAUCCAGCCAUUACCUCCAACAUCUCUUGUUGUGGAUAAGGCCCUUUCCCAUUGUGUACGGUUUGUACCUGUGGAGACGCCUGACAGAAUUUGUGGAUGUACAAUCUAUGUCUUCUCAGCAACAACAAACACAACCACAAAUGAUGUGGAUGCCUUGGCCAGUAGAAUCGAGGUGCCGGUGACCAGUAUAAAGAGACGCUCACAGCGUCUUUAUAAAGAUACUGACAGCAACAAAGGUCGUGCCAGGAUCCGCCGCAAAAUCAGGGAGGAGAAGGGGAUCCUGACCUCUGUUGUGGAGAAAUACAACAAAAUAGUUCCAAGCACAGAAAGAUAAGAUAAGAUAAGAUAGCUUUAUUUAUCUCACAGUGGAGAGAAAACGGGUCUUUGCAUGGAAACCAUUCUGUCUGGCGAGACAGCUUGGCCAUGGCAGCUACCACACAGUGGUAUGUACACUACUACUUUGAACACAUCGGACUGAUAAUGACACAUAAACACAGAACCAGUACCCUCAAAUGAGGAUCUGUUACCCUACAGGACUUUAGACAUUCUUUGAAUGUUGCUCCUUAAUAGAGUACAUAUAACUAACUUCAUGAUAUUGUCUAUGUACAGUGCCUUGAGAUAAUGUAUGUUGUGAUUUGGUGCUAUACAAAUAAAAUUGAAUUCAAUUAAAAUCUUUGUGAAAAAAAUGCAUUUCAGACUCUGUCGAUCUAAGGACAAAGAGAAAGGCAUUUGACAUCUUCAUGGCAGUAAGGAGACUGGAGGAGGAGAAGAAUAUUCUUGUUCUGGAGAUGGACCACCACUGGAAAUGGCUUUCAACUUGUGCAAAGACCUUGCAAGAGUUGUCCAGUCUACAGUGAAAAAUUCGCUAUGUGGCUUUAGUGAAGAGGGGUUGAAAGGUCUGCAGAGCAUCAUCCGGAGAAAGCAGCAGAACAUCAGAGAGAAGAAGAUGCAAGCUAGAGACUGCUACUGCAAGUUUUGUCUGGAGAGACUGCAGAGAACAUGAGCUUCUUGCACAAGCCCGAUGAUUCUGACAGUGACUCAGACAGUUCUGAUGAUGCACUGUAAUUGUACCCGUUACCGCUGCUCCACUUUCUUGUGCCAAUUAGUUGGCCAGUGGAAUUACAAAUGCUACUGUAGGUUGGUCACGUGAUGCCCUCUGGCCCAAAAAUACUUCUUACCAUUGCAACAAAACAAAUGAGCCAUGGUAGCAUGGUUUCGAGCAGGAGUGUUUUAGAAAAAGCUGACAAAAUCUCCUUAAUUUCUAGUAUUACUAUAAUUAGUAUUUGUCAAGUCCUCCUCUUGUUCAAAAAUCCAAAGGACACAAGGACAACUCAAAUUUCCAACUCAAUCACUUUUAUUUUCCUUUUGGCUUUAUCAGUUGAUUGGUCUGGACGGUAAAUUAGGUUGUAAACCUUGAAAGACAGAAACAAAAGUUGCAAUUUUAAUUAAACAUUUUCUAAUGGAUUAAACACUUAAGCCUUUUACAUAAAAUAAAGAAACUCGAAUUUCAUCCAUUUUCCACAUUUUUUAAUAAAGUUUUAACAUUUACUAUCCUUUUGUAUCUUCACCGUUAAUUUUCCUAACUCAAAAAUGAAAUACUGUUUUAUCACAAAUCUAUUUAACUUAAAUCAAUGCAGCCAAUGCUUCAAUGUGUUUUUCAGGCAAUCUACAAAGUAAAAUAAACUUAAACAUUUGAAGCAGCAUUUCAAACACCAUGAAAGUAAAUAAAAUGUUUCACCGACCAUUGGCGUCUUUGGACUGAACCUAUGAGUGAACUUGAGGUCUUCUUUCUGAAGUUUGUUUGACUGAAUGGCUGAGUCCCUCAGUGUCUACACAGGUGCUCCAAGUAAGUGACAAUGACUGAUCAGGUGAACUCUGGGAAGUGUAGUUUUCAGACCCAUUCUGAGAGUCAGCUCAACAGUAUUAUUAUUUUUAUAUAGACAGCAGAUAUGAGAGGACAGGGAAGACUGUUUACAAAGUAUCAGGGGAUGCAGCUCAUAUAGGUUAAAUAAAUAAAUGAAUAAUAAUAAUAAUAAAUAGAAUAAAAGAUUCUGGGGCAGUGGGCUCCACAUAAAAUACACCAUGGCAACUCACUUCCUGCAAAUUUCACGAAGAACAAUCUGUUUUAACCAAAUAUUCUCUGGUCCAGCCUUAGCUAAAAAUACACAAAGACGUAAUCCAUUGGCACGUUGAACCAUGCGUGGUUCACUAACCAGCCUGUUUGUAACUGGUAUCCUACCGACAAAGUUACCUGCACUUCAUCUGGUUAACAGAGUUUAGUAGUUUAGAUAACAUACUGUCCAGCUGUUAUGACUUAAUUAACCACUGUUACGACCCCAGGGUUGUGACUGCUUCUUCCCUGUGUGUGUGUGUAUGUGUCUGCGUGUGAGAUGGGUUGCAGGUGUGCAUGUCUUGAGUGAAUGGCCUAAGUGGGUGAGUCUAGGGUGGAUCCUGGGAGCUGAUUGGUCCUGCACAGGAAGGACUCUGAAUAAGAGGCCUGAUCAUCCCAGCUGCAGCGAACUUCCUCAAAGCACUCACAGCAAGACUGCCAGCAGACAUUUUGUACUUGAUUUUUAAUAAACCUUUUUAAAUGGUU